rnacentral:antisense_RNA from 1 species
CUUGACCGACCCCAGCCACAGGGGCCGUUCGCGACCCGUGCCGUACGCCGCGAGCAGGGCCUGCGCCUC